rnacentral:rRNA from 1 species
UACGGAGGGUGCAAACGUUGCUCGGAAUUAUUGGGCGUAAAGCGCACGUAGGCGGCCGAAUAAGUCGGGUGUGAAAGCCCUGGGCUCAACCCAGGAAGUGCACUCGAAACUGCUCGGCUUGAGUAUGGAAGAGGGUUGCGGAAUUCCCGGUGUAGAGGUGAAAUUCGUAGAUAUCGGGAGGAACACCGGUGGCGAAGGCGGCAUCCUGGACCAACACUGACACUGAGGAGCGAAAGCCAGGGGAGCAAACGGG